rnacentral:rRNA from 1 species
UACGUAGGGGGCUAGCGUUGUCCGGAUUUAUUGGGCGUAAAGAGCUCGUAGGCGGUGUGUCACGUCGGCCGUGAAAACCUGCAGCUUAACUGUGGGCGUGCGGUCGACACGGGCAUCACUGGAGUUCGGCAGGGGAGACUGGAAUUCCUGGUGUAGCGGUGAAAUGCGCAGAUAUCAGGAGGAACACCGGUGGCGAAGGCGGUUCUCUGGGCAUGUUCUGACGCUGAGGAGCGAAAGUGUGGGGAGCGAACAGG